AUUGAACGCUGGCGGCAGGCCUAACACAUGCAAGUCGAGCGAGCGGCGGACGGGUGAGUAAUGUAUGGGGAUCUGCCUGAUGGAGGGGGAUAACUACUGGAACCGGUAGCUAAUACCGCAUACCAUCAGAUGAACCCAUAUGGGAUUAGCUUGUAGGUGGGGUAACGGCUCACCUAGGCGACGAUCCAUAGCUGGUCUGAGAGGAUGAUCAGCCACACUGGAACUGAGACACGGCCCAGACUCCUACGGGAGGCAGCAGUGGGGAAUAUUGCGCAAUGGGCGAAAGCCUGAUGCAGCCAUGCCGCGUGUAUGAAGAAGGCCUUCGGGUUGUAAAGUACUUUCAGUCGGGAGGCGGUACCGACAGAAGAAGCAACGGCUAACUCCGUGCCAGCCGCCGCGGUAAUAC
rnacentral:rRNA from 1 species